rnacentral:rRNA from 1 species
AUUGAACGCUGGCGGCAGGCCUAACACAUGCAAGUCGAGCGGAUGAAGGGAGCUUGCUCCUGGAUUCAGCGGCGGACGGGUGAGUAAUGCCUAGGAAUCUGCCUGGUAGUGGGGGAUAACGUCCGGAAACGGGCGCUAAUACCGCAUACGUCCUGAGGGAGAAGGUGGGGGAUCUUCGGACCUCACGCUAUCAGAUGAGCCUAGGUCGGAUUAGCUAGUUGGUGGGGUAAAGGCCUACCAAGGCGACGAUCCGUAACUGGUCUGAGAGGAUGAUCAGUCACACUGGAACUGAGACACGGUCCAGACUCCUACGGGAGGCAGCAGUGGGGAAUAUUGGACAAUGGGCGAAAGCCUGAUCCAGCCAUGCCGCGUGUGUGAAGAAGGUCUUCGGAUUGUAAAGCACUUUAAGUUGGGAGGAAGGGCAGUAAGUUAAUACCUUGCUGUUUUGACGUUACCAACAGAAUAAGCACCGGCUAACUUUGUG